ACUUAUAGCCUUAGGCGCGUAGUCUUCUUAUAACACUUUGUGACGUUGCUGAAUGUUUUAACCGUGGUUCCGUAACUCACGGUAAGACCUACGUUACUCUGAGUAUGCGAGGGGUGGAGAUCUAAGAACAAGUCUUAUACUAGGAUUACUGAUAAGAUUGGAGCUCUUCAGUUUCCGUCUACCAGACAGGACAAGUAGGUAGUUCUGUAGUUUUUCCUUCCCUCACUAACGGCUUGGACUUCCUCGUGAUCGUUUCUGGAGUUUUUUGCACCACCACGGCCUCUUUAGUCUGUUGUGGGGUGAAUAUAACCGACAUGUUGGUCACUGUGUUUUGCAUCCUGGCUGAGGUCGUCUGACAUGGGUAUGAAGUGACCGGUGUGGUGAUCGGGGUGGUGUGUCCUGGACGUGAGGUCGUUUUCCGUACGGCUAAAGUCAACGGUAUCGUGGUCGGCAUGAUAUCUUUUUAGGGUGAGGUCGGUUUGCAUGUCGUUCAGGUGACC
rnacentral:rRNA from 1 species